GAACUGGAAUAUUUCUGUGGGAGCCACGUUGAGCCUGGCACUGUGCCAGACAGUGAGGCUGCAAAGAUCAUGUGCUUUUGGGGACACCGGCUGCCCUGUCCUGACAAAAUGUAGUCCCAUGGGGCUGUUCUGUAGCAAGAACGGAGGCCUCUUGCCAACAAACAAUUUGACCAUGCCAGACACACCUGGGUGACGAGGCCACCCCUGCCCGGGCGCCUUACCUCACAGGCGAAGAGCUUGAACUGCAGCCCCAGGAUCUUGUAGUCUAUCAGCUGAUUCCCUCGAAGCUGAG